UGCGCCGCGCCGCCGCAUUGGUGCGGGGAGGGGGCCAGCACCAAUAGGGACCGGAAGAAGGCGGAGUCGGAACAAGAUCACAGGCUAUUGGCUGCUUCUAGCGGCCUUCUGCCCAAUGGUGAUGCAAGGGCUCAAGGGGGCUCGGGGGCUCUAUAAAAGGCGCUGCAGGGGCCAAGCCCCGCUCUUUCAGCAUUGAAGGUGUGGGGGGCCCGGGCACCAGAGCCAGCCUGACACCAGUGAGCAGAGCCCGGACAUGCGGGCGGGUAUCGGAUGCACUGAGACAGCAGCUCAGCUCGGCGCACAGGCCUUCAGGCUCCUGCCUUGGGGACGUGACAUCCUCUGCUCCCCUGUCAUUGCACUCUUCUGUUCUCACAUGGACGUGGCAGAGGGUUAGACACGAAGUGAUGGGGCGGGGGGAUAUUUUUAUAUCGUGUAUGAAAUGCUACUAUAUCAGCUCCUGGAGUCAGGGUGAAUAGGGUGUAUAUGAGCCUGGCUAGAUCAGCGGUGGCUGAGCUGAGGCAUAUAGCCCAAGGCAGCCUCUGUGUAUGGGGGGCAGGGAGCAGAAAGCAGAGCAGCAGUGCUUGGAGCAGGUAGGGCUGAUUUUUAGGGCAUGCUUGCCAAAAAGAUUGGGUCCCGCUGCACUAGAUUGGUGGCUUUCAACCCAUGGGUUGUAACCCUGAAGUAGGUCACAAGACUAUGAAAGGGUCGUGAACAAACUUUAAAAAUGGAUUCUCUUUUAAAGGAGAAGAAGGUGGGAAGCAUUGGCUCUUCCCUUGCAGGCCGGCAGAGCUCCAGCCUUUGAGGGGCUGCUUGGGGGGGGCUUGGCCCACACUGGGUGUCUGGUUUGGGGGGUGUGGAGUGAGGGGCACUAAGUCAGGACCGGUCAUAGGUGUUUACAUGUGGGUCCUGGGGCAACAAAGGGUGAGAUCUGCUGUGCUAGAUCAUAGCAUUAGAACUGCAGAGGGAAGAAAUAGCUUUUUAGUGGCAAAGAGCAUCCCUGAGCUCAUGCUUGCAGUAAAGUAGUUCAAGGUGCUGUUAUGGGACUAAACCCUGUUCUUGUGAGCUCUGUAGAGUCUUGCCCCAGCUUAUCACUGAACUGACUUCGGCUAUCUAAAGUGUGCAUCCAGCCAUGAUGAAAUUAGUAGAAUCCAGGUUUUCCUUUUACCUCUGUAUCAUAUUGUGCACAGAUGUGAAUUAAAAGUGAGAAUAAACAUUGCUGCCUGUA